GCCUCAGUAGCUCAAUGGCAGAGCAACCGGCUGUUAACCGGUAGGUUGUUGGUUCGAGCCCAGCCUGAGGCGCCA
rnacentral:tRNA from 1 species